rnacentral:lncRNA from 1 species
GAUGCUAAAGUUACCAAACUUCUCAUAGGCUUGGAACCAACUCGAGAAUGUAAUCAAGGAAAUGUCUACAUACCCAAAGCUAUCUCCACCAAAGUAAGGUUUAUCUCCUAGCUCAGAUUCAAGAAUCUUCACUGCCUCAAUAAAUUCCUUCUUGCCUGCUUCUUGUUCCUCACCUUUCUUCCCCCAUACCUUGAAUUGGGCGUCGGUGAACUGAAUCCAUUACAGAACAUCGAAUUAUGUCAGAAGGAACCAAACUCAUUUUUUCAGAUAACCCUAAAUCACAUUGUUUCAGACUCAAGUUAAGAAAUCUAGGGCACAAAAGGGAUUAGUUACCUUCUUGUCCACGAAAUCAGCCCAGAAUCGAGCCUGAGCUCUCCCGUAAGGAUCGGAAGGGAAGAACGGGUUCUUCUCGGGCCAAGCCUCGUCGACGUACUGGACAACGUUAAGAGAUUCACAUACCGGUUUACCGUUGUGGACCAGAACCGGGAUUUUCUUGUGAAUGGGAUUACUCUGGAGGAGUAAAGGGCUCUUGUUCGAGAAAUCUUCCUCUCUGUAUUCAAACUCAACACCUUUCUCUCGCAACGCAACUCUAGCCCUCAUCCCGAACAUACUUGGCCAGUAAUCCAAAAGAAUCGGUAGGUUCGCCAUUGCUAUAGGAUCUCUGAAGUUCACAAAGUGGUAUAUAUUCUUGCUUUUUGUUGUGCGUGAACAAGCGAGUGUGUGUUAUAGUAGAGAAGGAGUGAGUGACGGUUGUUUUAUAGGGGAAGAAAAUGAUGUGGAAAGGAUUUUGAUUCCCGUUACGUCACAUCAGCUUUUUUCAAAGCAUAUUAUGGUCCAUAUAUAAAUCUUUUAAACAGUAAGCUUUUACCCGUAACGAUUUAAAAUGUAUUUUGCAACUUUGUUAAAUAAUUGUCAUAUGUGUGCAACUAGUGAAAACAUCACUUAAUAUAAAAGAGUGUGAUUAUCUUUUGCUCUGAUUCAAACCUUAAACGUAUAUGUAAGAGAUUAGAAUGGAAUUAGUACUUGACAAUAUAGAAAUCGACUUGAUUUAUAAGAAGGUAACAAAAUAAAAAGUUGAUCGAGUGAAGUAAUACUUUGCUUAGUUGCUGCAUCAGUCUCUACUUUUGGCGUGGCCACCUACUCACAGUUGUUUGUAUUAUUAUCUCUCAGUUAGGUGGGUGUACAUUUACCACGUGAUUCCCUUGAUUUGAUAUCAAACAUUACAAUCCGGUACAUACGAGGACAAGCUACUUACCAUGCAUGUACAAGAAAUACGCAUUUACACAAGGAGUGAUAACAGCUAUACUAAUUUAUUGAGAGAGUAUUGCACUCUAUUAAAUAUAUCACAUACACCAUUAUUUUUUCAAUAUCAGCAUAAGAUUUAUAAAUACAUAAUGCUUUAUCUAUGUUUAUACUCUAAAUUCUUUAUAUAUAUAAAGCCUUUGAAAUAAUAUUUUAAAAUUUACUAAUCGAUCCCAAAAAUUACAGGAUAGUUCUGUGUUAAUAUCGUUGUUGUAAUCGUAAAUCAAAUUCAAAUCCCAUGAACUGUGCGGAUCAUAGUAAUGUUAUUUGAUCUACCGAAUUCAAAUUCGGCAAGAAACACUAAACCCGUGGCUAAUCUGAUCAUACCGACACUAAUGAUCACAUCAACCACAUAACUUCCAAUUGACUACAAUAUGGAGUUAUGGAUGCCAAUUUCAAUUUGGGCUUAUGGAUGCCAAUUUGGGCUUAUUAGAUCCAGACCGGCUUACCAUUCUCGAUGUUGGAGGUUUUAAUCGCCAAACUGCACUAUUGUCUUUUACAGCAACAUUGGCGUGAUAAGCUUGGUCAGGUAGAAGAGUCGUAUUGGCGUAAUUACAUAUCAAAGUAACAAAUUAAUAAUCAUUAUAGAUUAACGAUCAUUAAUUAAACUCAUAGUUACAAUGCAUAAAAACUAGGACAAGCCAUUAAAUCCAGAAAACACAGGAAUCUGCUACAGCAAAGACAUACAUUCUCUACACUCAAACCACCUCACAGAUGCUCUGCAUUAUUUAAGAAAGACAACACACGAAAGUAAAACAGAGAGCAUCUUAAGUCCGAACCAUAUGACAAGAGAAACAUAUUUACUCAGGUACAAAUUUCUUCCUGAGCUCAGAGACGAAUUCAGUAACCUUCUCAGGAUCAGGCAAGGACUUAGCCACGCUCUCCCUCUGCAAACACUUCUUAACCCAAGCAAUCAGUUUCGGAACCUCAGAUUCGAUACUGAAGUUAGCAAACUUCUCGUAUGCUGGAAACCAUGUGUAGAAUCCAAUCAACGCAAUGUCUACAUAGCCAAAGUCAUCGCCACUAAAGUAAGGUUUGUCUCCAAGCUCAGAUUCAAGAGUCUUGAGUAUCUCAAUGAAAUCCUUCUUCCCUGCCUCUUGUUCCUCACCCUUUGUCGCCCACACCUUCCUCUGAGCAUCAUACAGCUGAAACAUUGCACAGAGUAACAUAACACCAAGCUAUGUCAGAACUCAGUCGAACCCAAACAAAGCUCAAAGAUGAUGUCUACAAAGCAAAACCAGUCCUAGAGACCCCCAAAUUGCAAAAGAAACAUAUCAUCAAACUAUCUAAGAUGAACCCAAACAAAGCUCAAAGAUGAUAUCUACUAGCGAAACUAGUAUGUAAAAACCUCAAAUUGCACAAGUAACAUAACAUUAAACUAUCUAAGAAGACAAACCCUGACUAGCUCAGAGAUGAGUCCACAAGAAAAAUCUGAAAUUUGGAGGUGAGAUCUCUAACCCUAACAACUACAAACUCAAGUAAUAUUAUAACAUCAGACAAACCCAUACAAGCUCAAAGACGAGUCUACAAGCAAAACCCUAAAUUUGAGCCAAUCACUAGCAAACUCAACUAAAGUUUCAAUUUUUAUGAAAUCCCAAGUUCAAUUUCAACAUUAUUCAAUCAAGGGCACAAAGGAAAUAAG